AUCCAGAUGACGAGUCUCAAACAGGACGAAAUUCAAAUCCUGGAC
rnacentral:hammerhead_ribozyme from 1 species